rnacentral:rRNA from 1 species
UACCAGCACCCCGAGUGGUCGGGACGUUUUAUUGGGCCUAAAGCAUCCGUAGCCGGUCCUGCAAGUCUUCCGUUAAAUCCACCUGCUCAACAGUUGGGCUGCGGGGGAUACUACAGGGCUAGGAGGCGGGAGAGGCAAGCGGUACUCAGUGGGUAGGGGUAAAAUCCGCUGAUCCAUUGAAGACCACCAGUGGCGAAGGGCGGCUGCCAGAACGCGCUCGGACGGUGGAGGGAUGAAAGCUGGGGGAGCAACCGG